GGGGUCUGGAUAUAAAAUGUUUAAUUUAGGGUUUUGGAGAGUAAUAAAACAAUAAAGGUGACUGAAUAACAUUAAUAGUGUGGUUUUGGUUUCCAAUGUGUAUACUUAAUAACAAUAAGAGUGUGACAGUAUAAUAAAUUAAUACUAACUCUGAAAAAUAUCGUAUCACAAGGUGUAUAUUGAUCGUAGACAUAAUAUCUUACGAUAAAUCGAUAAGAGUCAUAUGCAUUAUGUAAAGAGUCGUAGCUAUUAUUGUUUUAUUUUUUUUCUCAUAUUUUUUAAUUAUUCUUUUGAUUUAAAGUUUACGGUUUUGGGUUUUAGUGUUUAGGAUUUACUUUGAUUUACUUUGAAUUACAUUAGGUUUUGAGUUUAGGGUCUUAAAUAUAUGAGUUAGGGCUAAAGGUUUCGAGUUUUUUUCAGGAUCAUGGUUUAGGGUUUAGGGUUAGGCGUCUUAUAUACAAUAUAAGAUAUAUAAAUAAUAUGUAUAAAGUGAUAUUCAUUUUUAUUAAUAGAAAAUACCAACAAUAUACUUUGUAAAUUAAUAAUAUAAAAAUAUAAAAUGUAACUUAAAGAAACAUUUUAGAUUUCUUUAAACAAUAACAAUAAAUCAUUCCUUUUAUGUAAAUUUAUAAAAUUUAUAUAUAAUAAAACUGUAAAAUAAUGUUUAAGAUAAUCAUUCUUAAAUAAUAUAUCAACAUCCAAGAUGUUCAAA
rnacentral:lncRNA from 1 species